rnacentral:lncRNA from 1 species
AAAAUGUAUUUGUAAAGAUGGCUUGAUUAGUGGGAACCAAUGAAGAUCUCUAUAAGAACGGUUGUUAAUCGAGCCACCUCUGCCCUAAAAAGAUUCCAUUGCUGGAAAUAUGUGUUAGUGCUCCUCCCCAGAGUGGAAACCCUUUCACUCGUUAUUUGAGAGCUCUUCAAGAUUUCAGUAAGAUGUGCAUAAAGGUAAUAUUGAUCUGAGUUAGGUGUACACGCGUGCAUAUUCUUUGUUUCGAUCGAUCGAUCAAAUUAUAGGUUGGUGCUAGUAGGUAGGCGAUGAUAUGCAUGAUCGUGCUGUUGUUCGCUUUGGACUGUUUGUCCCUCGACGUUGUCACUCACGGCCGCGCAGUCCGGACCCUGAUUUGAUUAUAUUAACUAACUAGGUAGGCACAGACGAUGCUGCUACUUAUAAUUAUAUUUAUUAUAUAGUUGUUUAGUUCACCCUAAAAACAAAAAAAAAAUCAAGAUUUCUUGUCACAUCGAAUCUUGCGGCACAUGCAUAGAGUAUUAAAUAUAAAUGUUACUCUAUAAUUGGAUAAUUUUUGUCAAAUAAAAACGAAAGUACUAUAGUGUCAAAAUUCAAAAAAUUUUGGAUCUAAACAAGGCCAAGUUGGAGAGAGAUUAUUCAAUGGAUUUAGUCGCCCGUGUAAUCGUGUUCAAGGACGAGGGAUAUGUGUAAAUAAAUCUGUAGCAUCUUUCCCCGCUUGUCUCGUUGUGAUGGAUCCACUUCCAGACUGGCUGAUUGAAUUGAAUAGCAGGUUCCACGC